UACAGAGGGUGCAAGCGUUGUUCGGAAUUAUUGGGCGUAAAGGGCGCGUAGGCGGUGCGGUAAGUCACCUGUGAAAUCUCCGGGCUUAACUCGGAGCCUGCAGGCGAAACUACCGUGCUGGAGUGUGGGAGAGGUGCGUGGAAUUCCCGGUGUAGCGGUGAAAUGCGUAGAUAUGUGGAGGAACACCUGUGGCGAAGGCGCCUUGCUGGCCAAUUUCUGACGCUGAGGCGCGAAAGCGUGGGGAGCAAACAGG
rnacentral:rRNA from 1 species